rnacentral:lncRNA from 1 species
AGCGAUUCCCCUGCCUCAGCCUCUCGAGUUGCUGGAACUACAGGCACGUGCCACCACGCUGAGCUAAUUUUUAUACUUUUAGUAGAGACGGAGUUUCACCAUGUUGGCCAGGAUGGUCUCAAUCUCUUGACCUCGUGAUCCACCUGCCUCGGCCUCCCAAAGUGCUGGGAUUACAGGCAUUAGCCAUGGCGCACAGCCUGGAACACUGUGCAACUGUGAAAAAAAUUAAUCUAUAGAGAGGAUAAUCACACAAGGUUAUACAAGUGGUUCAUAGAAGUGGAUAUUACAUUCUGCUGGCCUAAAUGUCUUAGUUCCAGAAGAAGGACCGCUGCCACCAGGAGACACAACGAUUCCAUUAAACUGCAAGUUAAGAAUGCCAUCUGACCACUUUGGGCUCCUCCUACCUCUCACCAACAAGCUAAGAAGGGAGUUACAGUGUUGGCUGGAGUGAUUGACCCGGACUACCAAGUCUACUACUCCGCAAUGGAAGCUCAUAAGCAGAAGGGACUCACCUUAUCUCAGAUAAGACGCUGGACUUGGACUUUUGUUAAUGCUGGAAUGAGUUAAGCCUUUGGGUUACUGUUGAGAAGGGAUAAUUGUAUUUUAAAAUGUGAGAAGGACAUGAGAUUUGGGAGGGGUCGGGGCAAAAUGAUAUUGUUUGUUUCUGUGUCCCCAACCAAAUCUCAUGUUGAAUUGUAAUCCCCAUGUGUCAGGGCUGGGACCUGGAGGGAGGAGAUCAGAUCAUGGGAGCAGAUUCCCCCAUGCUGCUCUUGUGAUAGUGAGUGAGUUUUCACAAGUUCUGAUGAUUUAAAAAUGUGGCACUUCCCCCGCUCUCUUCUGCUGCCUUGUGAAGAAGGUGCUUGCUUCUCCUUCACCUUCUGUCAUGAUUGUAAGUUUCCUGAGGCCACCCUAGCCAAGCAGAAAUGUGAGUCAAUUAAAUAUAUUUUCGUUAUAAAUUACCCAUUCUCAGAUAGUUCUUUAUAGCAGUGUGAAAACAGACUAAUGCAAUCAUUAUCAAGUAUUCUGUACUGUAUGUAAUUGAAUGUGACAUCACUUUUGUACAACUGGCAAUACAAUAAGCUUGAUUUCACUAACAUCACCACAAAAAUGUGAGUUUUUCAUUGUAUUGUGAUGUUACAAUGUCUACGAUGUCACUAGGCUAUAAGGACAUUUUAGGUCCAUUGAAAUCUUAUGGGGCCACCAUCGUAUAUGUGUUCAAUCACUAAUUGAACGUUUUUAUAUGGCAUAUGACUGUAUAGGUCAAACAUUAUCAAAUUGUAUACCUUAAAUAUGUGUAGUUUAUUGUAUUUCAAUUUUAUCUCAAUAAAACCACUUUAAAAUAUCCAUACUGUAAGGACUCAUCACCCCAUAACAAAACAAUGUUUCAAGAAUUAUGUAGAACAGUUUAUUUUUAAAAACCCACCAUCAUACAGAAAAAAAGAAAUCCAUACAGUAUAAAAAGAGUCUUCUCUCUUGAUCAUACUUAUGGCCAAGUUAUCAUCAGUUGUUUUUAUGGGGUACAUUUUUGUCUAAGUGUGCCACAUAUUAUGCUUACACAAAGAUAUCUGGUUUGUGGGACAACUCAUCUGUCCAUUUAUAGUUCUUAAUAAUCAUCUGCACUGUAACAAAAAGUAAUCCUAGUAAUGCUUAGUACAUUUCUCUUAAUAGUGAACAAAUGUCAACAAAAUUUACAUUCAAGGUAAUAUUGCUCCUUUGUCCUAUGGAAUAUGUACUGAGAAAAAAUAUGGAUUUCCAGCUAUCACCCUAUAUAAAUGAAAAGUUGUAGGCUCAUAAGUUAUUCAAAUUUCAAUUAUUCCCCCAUAAAAUAAAUGACUAGUCAUAAACAAAUUCAAAUAUUUAGCUCAAAUUUUUUGAUUACAUUAAUUUAUAUAAUAAAACACACCAAUUAAAAAUGAUUUUGGACAACAAAACUCGAGAUAGUCUUAAGCUAAAUAACAGAUUACAUUACUUUAUAUACAGCAUCUUCUUAUUUUUGUGAAUUUAUAUAUGUCAAAAUGAUGCACAGAUUAUUAUUCUGUAUCUAAUUAUGUAGUCUAAAUAUUUUAAAAUUUGGCUAAAAUACAGGAAAAAGUGACCAGUUUCUCAUAAAUGUGUUUAAUGUGUACUUCCUAAUAGCCUUGGUUUCUUAUAUUAUCAAAGCUCUUAUACAUCGACAAGUAGAUAAAUGUAGAACCCAGUAUACACUUAUAACAUGACUGCAGAGGGCCUAGAAAGUUGUCUCCUAUACUAAAAAUCAUGAAACAUAAUAAUAACAGCAACAGCAGUGGCAAAAACAUAUUGCUAUCUCCACAUCACCAACCUUCUAUCCACUAUGAAUUGUUCAUGUAACUUGAUUCUAUAGCAUUUACUUCUAUCAACAAGUAAUUAACAAAGAGGAAAAUUUUUCUCAUUUUAAAAUAAAAAUAAUUUUCAGAAGAGUUACAUGUCAUUAAAACAAUUGUAUAAUAUAGUUUAUCCAAUUACACUUAUUGAAACAUUUAGUGGGUACUCACUCUAUGCAUGCCACUAUGCUGGGGCCAGAGAUACGAGGAUAAAUAUGUUGCAUUUUUUGCCCUUAAAGUUAUUAUGAUCUUCUAUAGGAAAUAGAGAAAAAUUGAUCAAUUAUUAUAUACAGCAGCAGUCUCCAACCUUUUUGUCAUCAGGGACCAGUUUGUAGAAGAUAAUUUUUCCAUGGACCAAGGCAUAGAUGGUUUGGGGAUAAAACAGUGCCACCUCAGAUCAUCAGGCAUUAGAUUCUCAUAAGGAGUGUGCAACCUAGAUCCCGCACAUCUGUGGUUCACAAUAGUGUUGUUAGAGCUCCUAUGAGAAUCUAAUGCAGCUACUGAUCUGACAGGAGGCGGAGCUUAGGCGGUAAUGCUGUCUAACCCACUGCUCACCUCCCACUGUGUGGCCCAGUCACCAACUGGUACCAGGGGUUUAGGGACCCCUGAUAUAUGGCGUUUGCAAGUAGUAUAAAAAUACACAUGAUAGCCCUUUACCCAAGAUAGUGUGCUAGUGUGUGUGUGUGUGUGAGUGUGUGUGUGUAUGUGUGUGUGUGUGAGAGAGAGGAUAGAAUUAGAAAUGAGAACAGGUUCAGGGGAGGCCUCUUCAAGAAUAAGUGAGAUUGCUCUUGAAAUAAAUUUUGAAGGAUAACUAAGAGUUGAUGAAGCAAAGGAAGGUAGGCCAGUAUUCACAUGCUAGGAAACAACCCAUUUAGAGGCUCAAGGAAAGCUUGCACAUUCAGGAGCCUGCAAAUUGUUGACUAUGACUAGAAUGUAGAGUGUAAAGAAGAAAGUGGCAGUAGAGAGAAAUAAAGGUGAGAUGCAGAGAAUUAAAAUCAUCAUGACCUUGUAUUGUGUGUUAAAAAGUUAAGACAUCAUCCUGAUCAUAUUUUUUCCCUCUAAUAAUUUUAGCUAAGAGUAGUCAUUACGAAAAAGAAGACUUUUAUGACUUUUAUGGGGAGAAUGAGGACAGCACUAACAUUUAUUGAAGACCUGUUUUGUCUGAUGGUUAGGAAGAGUCUGACUCCAUGUUUUAUAUUUGACUGCACAGCAUUUAGGCUCCUACCCUGCCCUGCCCAAACACUAUAUAUCUGGUACUAUAGACAAAUAAACCUGCAUGCCUUUUGAGAUUUUGGGUCCUGUGGAAAUUUGAACUUCACAGCCCCAGACUGAAUGUGAGAACUCCUCUCCAGCCCCACUCUCUCGCCAUUACAAAAGUCAAACCAACUCUCUGCUCAUUGUUCUUGCCGUUCUAGCCAGAUCAGCUUGCAGUUACCUUGCUCUAUGUACAAUUUCCUGAUGUGAAUAAUAAACUCCUUGCAAAUUAUCAAGGUGUGUGAAGUGUCGUCAGUCUGGAUAUGUGGCCUAUUAACUG